AUAAUUACUGCAGCAGGUUAGGAUAACUAAUGUAGCAGGUUAGGAUAACUAAUGUAGCAGGUUAGGAUAACUAAUGCAGCAGGUUAGGAUAACUAAUGCAGCAGGUUAGGAUAACUAAUGCAGCAGGUUAGGAUAACUAAUGCAGCAGGUUAGGAUAACUAAUGUAGCAGGUUAGGAUAACUAAUGCAGCAGGUUAGGAUAACUAAUGUAGCAGGUUAGGAUAACUAAUGUAGCAGGUUAGGAUAACUAAUGCAGCAGGUUACUAAUGCAGCAGGUUAGGAUAACUAAUGCAGCAGGUUAGGAUAACUAAUGCAGCAGGUUAGGAUAACUAAUGCAGCAGGUUAGGAUAACUAAUGCAGUAGGUUAGGAUAACUAAUGCAGUAGGUUAGGAGAAUGAAUGCAGCAGGUUAGGAUAACUAAUGUAGCAGGUUAGGAUAACUAAUGCAGCAGGUUAGGAUAACUAAUGCAGCAGGUUAGGAUAACUAAUGUAGCAGGUUAGGAUAACUAAUGUAGCAGGUUAGGAUAACUAAUGCAGCAGGUUAGGAUAACUAAUGCAGCAGGUUAGGAUAACUAAUGCAGCAGGUUAGGAUAACUAAUGCAGCAGGUUAGGAUAACUAAUGCAGCAGGUUAGGAUAACUAAUGCAGUAGGUUAGGAUAACUAAUGCAGUAGGUUAGGAUAACUAAUGCAGUAGGUUAGGAUAACUAAUGCAGUAGGUUAGGAUAACUAAUGCAGCAGGUUAGGAUAACUAAUGCAGCAGGUUAGGAUAACUAAUGCAGCAGGUUAGGAUAACUAAUGCAGCAGGUUAGGAUAACUAAUGCAGCAGGUUAGGAUAACUAAUGCAGUAGGUUAGGAUAACUAAUGCAGUAGGUUAGGAGAAUGAAUGCAGCAGGUUAGGAUAAUUAAUGCAGCAGGUUAGGAUAACUAAUGUAGCAGGUUAGGAUAACUAAUGCAGCAGGUUAGGAUAACUAAUGCAGCAGGUUAGGAUAACUAAUGCAGCAGGUUAGGAUAACUAAUGUAGCAGGUUAGGAUAACUAAUGCAGCAGGUUAGGAUAACUAAUGUAGCAGGUUAGGAUAACUAAUGUAGCAGGUUAGGAUAACUAAUGCAGCAGGUUACUAAUGCAGCAGGUUAGGAUAACUAAUGCAGCAGGUUAGGAUAACUAAUGCAGCAGGUUAGGAUAACUAAUGCAGCAGGUUAGGAUAACUAAUGCAGUAGGUUAGGAUAACUAAUGCAGUAGGUUAGGAGAAUGAAUGCAGCAGGUUAGGAUAACUAAUGUAGCAGGUUAGGAUAACUAAUGUAGCAGGUUAGGAUAACUAAUGCAGCAGGUUAGGAUAACUAAUGCAGCAGGUUAGGAUAACUAAUGCAGCAGGUUAGGAUAACUAAUGCAGCAGGUUAGGAUAACUAAUGCAGCAGGUUAGGAUAACUAAUGCAGCAGGUUAGGAUAACUAAUGCAGUAGGUUAGGAGAAUGAAUGCAGCAGGUUAGGAUAACUAAUGCAGCAGGUUAGGAUAACUAAUGCAGCAGGUUAGGAUAACUAAUGCAGCAGGUUAGGAUAACUAAUGCAGCAGGUUAGGAUAACUAAUGCAGCAGGUUAGGAUAACUAAUGUAGCAGGUUAGGAUAACUAAUGCAGCAGGUUAGGAUAACUAAUGCAGCAGGUUAGGAUAACUAAUGCAGCAGGGCAGCAGGUUAGGAUAACUAAUGCAGCAGGUUAGGAUAACUAAUGCAGCAGGUUAGGAUAACUAAUGCAGCAGGUUAGGAGAAUGAAUGCAGUAGGUUAGGAUAACUAAUGCAGCAGGUUAGGAGAAUGAAUGCAGUAGGUUAGGAUAAUUAAUGUAGCAGGUUAGGAUAAUUAAAGUAGCAGGUUAGGAUAAUUAACGUAGCAAGUUAGGCGAAAAAGUUUAAGGUUAGGUUUAGCUACAAUCCUACAGUUGUCGCCGACGCAACUCGAGCAUGCAACUUUUGGUACGAAGCUGUACUCCAUCUAGCCACAACCGUAGAAGCCACCAGUUCCCCCACACCUGCAAUGGUAUACUUUAAUCUGAGCACCCCCUCUUGC